AUUGAACGCUGGCGGCAGGCCUAACACAUGCAAGUCGCACGAGUGGCGGACGGGAGAGUAAUGUCUGGGAAACUGCCUGAUGGAGGGGGAUAACUACUGGAAACGGUAGCUAAUACCGCAUACCAUCAGAUGUGCCCAGAUGGGAUUAGCUUGUGGGUGGGGUAACGGCUCACCAAGGCGACGAUCCCUCGCUGGUCUGUGAGGAUGAGCAGUCACACUGGAACUGAGACACGGUCCAGACUCCUAGGGGAGGCAGCAGUGGGGAAUAUUGGACAAUGGGCGAAAGCCUGAUGCAGCCAUCCCGCGUGUGUGAAGAAGGUCUUCGGAUUGUAAAGCACUUUAAGUUGGGAGGCGUUUCCAACAGAAUAAGCACCGACUAACUUCGUGCCAGCAGCCGCGGUAAUAC
rnacentral:rRNA from 1 species